CGCGCCUCGGCGCGUAUCUACGGCAGGGGACUGCCCCGCGCGGGCCCCGGUCCCCCGGAGCCGCGGCCUGGUGUUCCAGCGCACAUAUCCCGGUGACCUUGGAAAGCCCAGGGCGGGGGAGCCGUGCGGGAACUGACCGCCUCUACCCCCCACCCCGGGGCUGCUAUUCCGGGCGCCGCGCUCAGGGCCAGGGAAUGUGCGAGAACCGAGGUGGCCCUGCCAUGGUUCCGGGAGUCCGGGACGCUGCCUCCUUUCCACCGACGCCCAGAUCGCGUCCCCGCGAGGGUCCCCUUUCUCGGUACGGCUGUGAAUGACCCAGCUAACUAGGCUGAGGGAGGCAGCCCCCUGCGAGUGCAGAGUCCUACCUUUCGAUCGGGACACCCAGAGGCAAUAGCCCAGGCCCACUGCAGAUGGGGUGGGGGUCAGCAAGGCCCUCACUGAAGAGGCAAUUGCCACAAGGAGGAGGGCAGCGCGGGUGGAGGAGACAGCCUGUGCACAACCCCGGAGGAUCUCAUCCACGAUCUCCCGUGACAUUGAGCUACUUUUCUCAUAAUUGGUAAAAAGACCCAAACAGAUGAAAUAGAGAUUAUUCAUGUGGAAAUCUGGCCGGGUCUGAUGCUCACACAGCACAGUGCACACAGCCAGAGUCAAUCGAUGUCCCUGGAGAGGAGUCGAAGCAGCAUGCAGCUGGAGAGAGGAUGCCAGGAUAGGUGUCCUCCUCCCCCCAGAGGAGAAGCACCCACUCUGGACCCUGAGGAUGCCCCCUCUGUGGGCAGGCUGUGGGGAGCCCAGGGAGGGUCUGAACUUGCAUGAGGCCACCCAACAGGUCAGCACCUAUGGAGUAGACAGCAGGGACAAACACAGGCCCGUGUCCGCAUGUGGCGCGCCCAGCCUGGUGGGAUGAAAACCAGCAGACCUGCAAGGAAAUGACAUAAUUUCAGGUUGUGAGGGACCACAAAGGGAAUCGAGGGGUGGAGGUGGCCUCCUGGACAAGGGUGGCCCUUGCCUAGGCCCUCGAAGAUGAGAAGGGGCCGUUGGGAGGAGACUCAGGGAUGGGGAGCAUCAUGAGCAGAGAGAAGGACAUAUGCAAAGGCCCUGAGGUUGGGAUGAGCUUGGUAUGGGAACUUGGACCAGCAGAGAGGCCAGGGCAGCUGGAGUGGGGUGAGUGAGUGGGUGGGU